UAAUACGUAGGGUGCGAGCGUUGUUCGGAAUUACUGGGCGUAAAGGGCGCGCAGGCGGAAUAGCAAGUCGGUGGUGAAAGCCCGGGGCUCAACCCCGGAGGGUCAUUCGAAACUGCUAAUCUAGAGAGGGUCAGGGGCCAGCAGAAUUCUUGGUGUAGAGGUGAAAUUCGUAGAUAUCAAGAGGAAUACCGGUGGCGAAGGCGGCUGGCUGGGGCCACUCUGACGCUGAGGCGCGAAAGCGUGGGGAGCAAACAGGAUUAGAUACCCUGGUAGUCCACGCCGUAAACGAUGAGCACUGGAUGUCCGGAGGGUUCGACCCUUCUGGGUGUCUCAGCUAACGCAUUAAGUGCUCCGCCUGGGGAGUACGGUCGCAAGACUA
rnacentral:rRNA from 1 species